GCCGAAAUAGCUCAGUUGGGAGAGCGUCAGAUUGCAGAUCUGAAGGUCCCUGUGUCAAUCCCGGGUUUCGGCA
rnacentral:tRNA from 1 species